UAGGGAAUAUUGCACAAUGGGCGAAAGCCUGAUGCAGCAACGCCGCGUGCGCGAUGAAGGCCUUCGGGUUGUAAAGCGCUUCUCGGGGGGAUGAGGAAGGACAGUACCCCCGGAAUAAGUCUCGGCUAACUACGUGCCAGCAGCCGCGGUAACACGUAGGAGACUAGCGUUAUCCGGAUUUACUGGGCGUAAAGCGCGUGCAGGCGGUUCGGUAAGUCGGGCGUGAAAGCUCCUGGCUCAACUGGGAGAAGCCGUCCGAAACUACCAGACUUGAGGGCAGAAGAGGGAGGUGGAAUUCCGGGUGUAGUGGUGAAAUGCGUAGAUAUCCGGAGGAACACCAGUGGCGAAGGCGGCCUCCUGGUCUGUCCCUGACGCUCAGACGCGAAAGCUAGGGGAGCGAACGGGAUUAGAAACCCCGGUAGUCCUAGCCGUAAACGAUGCGGACUUGGUGUUGGUGGCUUAAACUCCAUCAGUGCCGUAGCUAACGCGAUAAGUCCGCCGCCUGGGGACUACGACCGCAAGGUUA
rnacentral:rRNA from 1 species